GACAGGGGUGGCAAGCGUUGUUCGGAGUGACUGGGCGUAAAGGGUCUGUAGGUGGUUUUUCAAGUCUUUGGUAAAAAGCCGUGGCUUAACCAUGGUGAGGCCAAGGAGACUGGGAGAGGGAAGCGGAAUUUCUGGUGUAGCGGUGAAAUGCGUAGAGAUCAGAAAGAAGGCCGGUGGCGAAGGCGGCUUCCUGGAACAGACCUGACACUGAGAGACGAAAGCGUGGGGAGCAAACAGG
rnacentral:rRNA from 1 species